CCUACGGGAGGCAGCAGUGGGGAAUCUUGCGCAAUGGGCGAAAGCCUGACGCAGCCAUGCCGCGUGAAUGAUGAAGGUCUUAGGAUUGUAAAAUUCUUUCACCGGGGACGAUAAUGACGGUACCCGGAGAAGAAGCCCCGGCUAACUUCGUGCCAGCAGCCGCGGUAAUACGAAGGGGGCUAGCGUUGCUCGGAAUUACUGGGCGUAAAGGGAGCGUAGGCGGAUAGUUUAGUCAGAGGUGAAAGCCCAGGGCUCAACCUUGGAAUUGCCUUUGAUACUGGCUAUCUUGAGUACGGAAGAGGUAUGUGGAACUCCGAGUGUAGAGGUGAAAUUCGUAGAUAUUCGGAAGAACACCAGUGGCGAAGGCGACAUACUGGUCCGUUAACUGACGCUGAGGCUCGAAAGCGUGGGGAGCAAACAGGAUUAGAUACCCUGGUAGUCCACGCUGUAAACGAUGAGUGCUAGUUGUCGGCAGGCAUGCCUGUCGGUAGACGGCAGCUACGACAUAAGUACACUCCGCCGUCGGGAGGUACGGUCGCGAGAAGUUAAACUAACAAGAAGUAGUAGACGCGAGAGAGCGACGACGACGACGACGGAGGAGAG
rnacentral:rRNA from 1 species